rnacentral:rRNA from 1 species
CUGGUUGAUCCUGCCAGCGGCCACCGCUAUUGGGUUUCGCUUAAGCCAUGCGAGUCGAGAGGGUUCGGCCCUCGGCAGACUGCUCAGUAACACGUGGAGAACUUGCCCUACGCUGGAGAAUAAUCUCGGGAAACUGAGGACAAUGCUCCAUAGCCCAGCCGUCCUGGAACGGUGGUUGGGUCAAAGCUCCGGCGGCGUAGGAUAGCUCUGCGGCCUAUCAGGUUGUAGCGAGGGUAACGUCCUCGCUAGCCUACGACGGGUAUGGGUGUUGGGAGACAUCGCCCAGAGAUGGAUUCUGAGACACGAAUCCAGGCCCUACGGGGCGCAGCAGGCGCGAAAACUGCACAAUGUGGGAAACCACGAUGCGGGAAACCCAAGUGCCAGCGCUAUGCGUUGGCUGUCCUCCAGUGUUCGUAACUGGGGAAGAAAGUGCUGGGUAAGACGGGUGCCAGCCGCCGCGGUAAUACCCGCAGCACAAGUGGUGGUCAUUAUUAUUGGGCCUAAAGCGUCCGUAGCUGGCUUGUUAGAUGCCUGGGUAAAUCGAUGCGCUCAACGCAUCGAACUCCGGGUAGACCGGCAAGCUUGGGACCGGGAGAGGCGUGAGCUACUCGAGGGGUAGGGGUAAAAUCCUGUAAUCCUUCGGGGAGGACCAGUGGCGAAGGCGUCUAACUAGAACGGAUCCGACGGUAAGGGACGAAACCCUGGGGCGCAAACGGGAUUAGAUACCCCGGUAGUCCAGGGCUUAAACGCUGCAGAUUUGGUGUCGGGGGUCCUACGAGGGCACCCGGUGCCGGAGAGAAGUUGUUAAAUCUGCCGCUUGGGGAGUACGGUCGCAAGACUGAAACUUAAAGGAAUUGGCGGGAGGGCACCGCAACGGGAGGGGCGUGCGGUUCAAUUGGAUUCAACGCCGGG